rnacentral:antisense_RNA from 1 species
UUCUUCUUUUUCAGAUGUGAUAAAGGAUG